rnacentral:rRNA from 1 species
AGAGUUUGAUCAUGGCUCAGAGUUAACGCUGGCAUCGUGCAUAACACAUGCAAGUCGAACGGGACUUUGCGCUGUAGCAAUACAGUGUAAAGUUUAGUGGCAGACGGGUGAGUAAUGUAUAAGAAACCUACCUCUGAGUGGGGAAUAACAGUCCGAAAGGAUUGCUAAUACCCCAUAACAUAACCUAGCGGCAUCGCUUAGUUAUCAAAGAUUUAUCGCUUGGGGAUGGUCUUAUAUUCUAUCAGCUAGUUGGCAGUGUAACGGACUACCAAGGCUACGACGGAUAGCCGGCCUGAAAGGGCGACCGGCCACAAGGGCACUGAGACACGGGCCCUACUCCUACGGGAGGCAGCAGUGGGGAAUUUUGGACAAUGGGCGAAAGCCCUGAUCCAGCAACGAUGCGUGGAGGAUGAAGGUUCUCGGAUUGUAAACUCCUUUUGUAAGGGAAGAAAAAAUGACGGUACCUUACGAAUAAGCCACGGCUAACUACGUGCCAGCCGCCGC